rnacentral:rRNA from 2 species
UACGUAGGGUGCGAGCGUUAAUCGGAAUUACUGGGCGUAAAGCGUGCGCAGGCGGUUUCGUAAGACAGAUGUGAAAUCCCCGGGCUUAACCUGGGAACUGCGUUUGUGACUGCGAGACUUGAGUGCGGCAGAGGGGGGUGGAAUUCCACGUGUAGCAGUGAAAUGCGUAGAGAUGUGGAGGAACACCGAUGGCGAAGGCAGCCCCCUGGGUCGACACUGACGCUCAUGCACGAAAGCGUGGGGAGCAAACAGG